rnacentral:rRNA from 1 species
GAUGAACGCUGGCGGCGUGCCUAAUACAUGCAAGUCGAGCGAACAGACGAGGAGCUUGCUCCUCUGACGUUAGCGGCGGACGGGUGAGUAACACGUGGAUAACCUACCUAUAAGACUGGGAUAACUUCGGGAAACCGGAGCUAAUACCGGAUAAUAUAUUGAACCGCAUGGUUCAAUAGUGAAAGACGGUUUUGCUGUCACUUAUAGAUGGAUCCGCGCCGCAUUAGCUAGCUGGUAAGGUAACGGCUUACCAAGGCGACGAUGCGUAGCCGACCUGAGAGGGUGAUCGGCCACACUGGAACUGAGACACGGUCCAGACUCCUACGGGAGGCAGCAGUAGGGAAUCUUCCGCAAUGGGCGAAAGCCUGACGGAGCAACGCCGCGUGAGUGAUGAAGGUCUUCGGAUCGUAAAACUCUGUUAUUAGGGAAGAACAAAUGUGUAAGUAACUAUGCACGUCUUGACGGUACCUAAUCAGAAAGCCACAGCUAACUACGUG